rnacentral:rRNA from 1 species
UACGGGGGGGGCAAGCGUUGUUCGGAAUUACUGGGCGUAAAGGGCUCGUAGGUGGCCAACUAAGUCAGACGUGAAAUCCCUCGGCUUAACCGGGGAACUGCGUCUGAUACUGGAUGGCUUGAGGUUGGGAGAGGGACGCGGAAUUCCAGGUGUAGCGGUGAAAUGCGUAGAUAUCUGGAGGAACACCGGUGGCGAAGGCGGCAUCCUGGACCGGCAUUGACGCUGAGGAGCGAAAGCCAGGGGAGCAA